AGAGUUUGAUCCUGGCUCAGAUUGAACGCUGGCGGUAUGCUUAACACAUGCAAGUCGAACGGUAGCACGGUUCGUAGCAAUACGAAUGGGUGACGAGUGGCGGACGGGUGAGUAACGCGUAGGAAUCUGCCUUGAAGAGGGGGAUAACCCGAGGAAACUCGGGCUAAUACCGCAUAUGCUCGUGAGAGUAAAGCUGGCCCCGCACUUGUUGCGGGGCUGGCGCUUUAAGAUGAGCCUGCGUCUGAUUAGCUAGUUGGUAGGGUAAAGGCCUACCAAGGCGAUGAUCGGUAGCUGGUCUGAGAGGAUGACCAGCCACACUGGAACUGAGACACGGUCCAGACUCCUACGGGAGGCAGCAGUGGGGAAUAUUGGACAAUGGGGGGAACCCUGAUCCAGCAAUACCGCGUGUGUGAAGAAGGCCUUCGGGUUGUAAAGCACUUUAGGGUGGGAAGAAGGGUUGGAGUUUAAGAGAUUUCAAUUUUGACGGUACCACCAGAAUAAGCACCGGCUAACUCUGUGCCAGCAGCCGCGGUAAUACAGAGGGUGCGAGCGUUAAUCGGAAUAACUGGGCGUAAAGGGCGCGUAGGCGGUUAUGUAAGUCGGAUGUGAAAUCCCUGGGCUUAACCUAGGAACUGCAUCUGAAACUGUGUGACUGGAGUGCAGUAGAGGAGUGGAAUUUCCGGUGUAGCGGUGAAAUGCGUAGAUAUCGGAAGGAACACCGGUGGCGAAGGCGGCUAUCUGGACUGACACUGACGCUGAGGCGCGAGAGCGUGGGUAGCAAACAGGAUUAGAUACCCUAGUAGUCC
rnacentral:rRNA from 1 species